rnacentral:rRNA from 1 species
UACGUAGGUGGCAAGCGUUGUCCGGAUUUACUGGGCGUAAAGAGCGCGCAGGCGGUUGUUUAAGUCGAAUGUGAAAGCCCCCGGCUCAACUGGGGAGGGUCAUUCGAUACUGAUCGACUUGAAGGCAGGAGAGGGAAGUGGAAUUCCUGGUGUAGCGGUGAAAUGCGCAGAUAUCAGGAGGAACACCGGUGGCGAAGGCGGAUCUCUGGGCCAUUACUGACGCUGAGGAGCGAAAGCGUGGGGAGCGAACAGG